CAGCCGUAAACUAUGCUCGCUAGGUGUCAGGCAUGGCGCGACCGUGUCUGGUGCCGCAGGGAAGCCGUGAAGCGAGCCACCUGGGAAGUACGGCCGCAAGGCUGAAACUUAAAGGAAUUGGCGGGGGAGCACAACAACGGGUGGAGCCUGCGGUUUAAUUGGACUCAACGCCGGGAAGCUCACCGGAUAAGGCAGCGGAAUGAUUGCCGGGCUGAAGACUCUGCAUGACUAGCUGAGAGGUGGUGCAUGGCGUAGACGUCU
rnacentral:rRNA from 1 species